UACCAGCACCCCGAGUGGUCGGGACGUUUAUUGGGCCUAAAGCAUCCGUAGCCGGUUCUACAAGUCUUCCGUUAAAUCCACCUGCUUAACAGAUGGGCUGCGGAAGAUACUAUAGAGCUAGGAGGCGGGAGAGGCAAGCGAUACUCGAUGGGUAGGGGUAAAAUCCGUUGAUCCAUUGAAGACCACCAGUGGCGAAGGCGGCUUGCCAGAACGCGCUCGACGGUGAGGGAUGAAAGCUGGGGGAGCAAACAGG
rnacentral:rRNA from 1 species